GUUCAACUCCAGCCAAACGCACAAAGGUGUUUCAUUAAAUGCUUGUCUCGCAAAAGGUCCAGACAGCUACAUGAACAACUUGGUUGGUAUUCUUCUACGUUGGAGAGAAGAAAGAGUAGCGCUAAUCGGAGAUAUUCGAAAGAUGUUCAACUCGGUUUAUUUGAAGGCCUUGGAACAGCAUUGCCACCGUUUCCUAUGGCGAGAUUUACAGCAGCAUCGCCCACCGGACAUUUACGUAAUACAACGAGUCAAUAUGGGUGAUACACCAGCCCCCGCCAUCAGCACAGAAGCUGUCUACAAGACUGCAGAGUUGUAUCGAGAGGAUAGUCCACAAGCCGCAAAUCUCCUAAAACAUUCCAGUUACGUGGAUGAUUUGAUUGACUCACGUCCAAGUAAACCCGACGCGUUAAAGAUUGCCAAGGAAGCCGAGGAUAUCCUUGCCAAAGGAGGAUUUGCUGUAAAGUGCUGGCAAUUUAGUGGCAAAACACAACCUCGCGUGAAAGAAGAGUUGUUAAAAUUGGACCUGCCAGAAAAGAGUGUUGAAAGCUCAGACCAAGGACUAAUAAUGUUAAAAGAAACUGACGAAAACUUACGAGUGCUCGGUCUGGGUUGGAAUCCGAAGCAAGACACCAUCACCUAUGAAGUAACUUUGAAUUUCAGUAGCAAGAGACGCGGAGUUCGAACCGGUCCAAACCUGCUAGAAAGCGACCUACCAAGUGCAUUACCGAAUGUGUUAACCAGACGAAUCAUUCUUGAGCAAGUAAUGAAGAUUUAUGACCCACUCGGACUAAUUUCUCCAUUUACAUUGAUGGCCAAGAUAUACUUACGCGAAACCUGGUCCCGCAAGCUCGGAUGGGAUGACCCACUACCAGCAGAACUUUGCAACAAAUGGUCCAAUUUCUUCACUGCUCUUUUCAAACUUCAGCGUUUGUGUUUGGAGCGAUGCUUACGACCUGUGAAUAGCAAUGGACGCCCUUGGUUAAUAAUCUUGAGCGAUGGUAGUGAUCUCGCGUAUGGCUUCGCAGCUUACAUUCGAUGGAAAUUGGAUGAUGGAAGCUACUGGUGUAGGUUGAUCAUGGCGAAGUGUCGUAUUGCUCCAAUCAACAAGUUAUCUACCCCUCAGAUGGAGUUAAACGCAGCUGUUCUGUCGAAAAGAGGAAGAAAGGUCAUCGAGAAAGAAAUGAGGUUCGACUUUGAGAGAGUUUUACAAAUCGUGGACUCAGAAACAGUCUUGAGUAUGAUCCACAAGACAAGCACACGUUUCAAAGUUUACGAGGGAGUACGAAUCGGAGAAAUCCAAGCAGCAACUGAAGGAGAUCUGACUUGCUGGGCUUGGAUGUCUGGCCAACAUAAUACAGCUGACUGGUUGACACGCGGCAGAGCACCAGAGGAGCUGAACAACGAUUCUCAUUGGUGGAAUGGACCGCCGAUUCUAUACAGACCGAUAGAAGAAUGGGGAUUAAAGUUUAACCCAAAGAAAGAACCACUCCCCGGUGAAAAGAAAGUCCAUGUUGUAGCAGCAGCAGUGAGUGUAGAGGCAUUGUUGAUCGACUAUGAAAGAUUCAGCAAUAUCAACAAAGCUAUUUGGGUCGUCGCGAGAUUGCUAAACAUUGCGAAGAAGAAAAGUUUUAAAGGCGGAAGGACUCUGUCCAUCUCGGUUAAGCAAUUACAAGAAGCCAAGAACUUUAUUGUUAAAGAAUUUCAGAAAUCAUUUGAAAGUGAACUGACAAAAACUGACCGCAAAGGCAGAAAAGGUGGUCGUUUCGCUUGUUUGAAUCCAGUCCAAG
rnacentral:lncRNA from 1 species